AAGAUACUAGUAUAAGCUCAAUACACUGCCUUGUCAAGGCAGAAUUGUAGGUUAAAACCCUGCGUAACUUG
rnacentral:tRNA from 1 species